CCUACGGGCGGCUGCAGUGGGGAAUAUUGCACAAUGGGCGCAAGCCUGAUGCAGCCAUGCCGCGUGUGUGAAGAAGGCCUUCGGGUUGUAAAGCACUUUCAGCGGGGAGGAAGGCGUUAAGGUUAAUAACCUUGUCGAUUGACGUUACCCGCAGAAGAAGCACCGGCUAACUCCGUGCCAGCAGCCGCGGUAAUACGGAGGGUGCAAGCGUUAAUCGGAAUUACUGGGCGUAAAGCGCACGCAGGCGGUCUGUCAAGUCGGAUGUGAAAUCCCCGGGCUCAACCUGGGAACUGCAUUCGAAACUGGCAGGCUAGAGUCUUGUAGAGGGGGGUAGAAUUCCAGGUGUAGCGGUGAAAUGCGUAGAGAUCUGGAGGGAUACCGGUGGCGAAGGCGGCCCCCUGGACAAAGACUGACGCUCAGGUGCGAAAGCGUGGGGAGCAAACAGGAUUAGAUACCCGGGUAGUC
rnacentral:rRNA from 1 species